rfam:Clostridiales bacterium 1_7_47_FAA supercont2.5 genomic scaffold, whole genome shotgun sequence.
UACCACAGUAUUGAAUGCCCUGAGACAGCAGGUACCGUAAGGUGUAAGGCGUAACCGCCUGCCGAGGAACAUACAAAACUCUGAUUAUUCAUGAUGAGAUUUUGCAGACCUCUCUGUCCAUAUGGCAGAGAGGUCUUUAUGUAUUCCA